rnacentral:lncRNA from 1 species
GCUAAUGAAUGAAUGUGAUCAUUUAAAAGAAAGUCUCUUUCAGUAUGAGAGAGAGAAAACAGAAGUAGUAGUGGUUGUGAGACAACUUCAACAAGAAGUGGCUGACAGCGUAAAAAAAUUAACGACGUUAGAGUCUCCACUGGAAGGUAUAUCACGUUGUCACAUUAAUUUGGAUGAGACACAGGCCUCAAAUAAGAAAUUAUUUCAAGUGAAAAGUCAAAUAUAAGAAACUCCUGGAAAUGACAAUAAAUAUGUUAAAUGUAUUUGGAAAUGAAGACUUUGAUUGCCAUGGAGACUUAAAAACAGAUCAACUGAAAAUGGAUAUUCUGAUUAAGAAGCUAAAACAGAAGUUUGAUGAUCUUACAGCACAGAAGGAAGCUUUAUCUUCAAAAUGUGUCAAUUUGGCUAAAGACAAUCAAGUUCUUCAACAGGAGUUUUUAUCUAUGAAAAAAGUACAACAGCAAUGUGAAAAACUUGAGGAGGAUAAAAAGAUGUUGAAAGAAGAAAUAUUAAAUCUUAAGACACAUAUGGAAAACAAUAGGGUAGAAAUUAGUAAACUACAAGAAUAUAAAUUGGAGCUAGAUGAAAAGGCAAUGCAGGCAGUAGAAAAAUUAGAAGAAAUCCAUUUACAGGAACAAGCACAAUAUGAAAAACAAUUAGAGCAGUUAAACAAGGAUAAUAUGGCUUCACUAAAUAAAAAGGAACUCACACUUAAAGAUGUGGAAUGUAAAUUCUCAGAAAUGAAAACUGCUUAUGAAGAGGUUACAACCGAAUUAGAAGAAUAUAAGGAAGCCUUUGCAGCAGCAUUGAAAGCUAACAAUUCCAUGUCAAAAAAGUUAACAAAAUCAAAUAAGAAAAUAGCAGUGAUUAGCAUGAAGCUCCUCAUGGAGAAAGAGCAGAUGAAAUAUUUUCUCAGUGCUCUUCCUACAAGGCGAGACCCAGAGUCACCUUGUGUUGAAAAUCUUACUAGUAUAGGACUCAACAGAAAAUAUAUUCCCCAAACACCCAUAAGAAUUCCUAUUUCAAGCCCACAGACUUCAAAUAACUGCAAGAACUCCUAGACUGUGAUGGAGCUGGACUGUGUAGAACAAAUAACUAGAGAAACAAAGAGAAUUGUUGCUGUGUUGAACACUUGCUCCCGUCUACUUACUUCUCUAUAAUCCACUGCCAUGGAAUGAGUGAUUUUUCUUAGAAGCAGAGGUGGAGCCACUGAGGAAGCACAGGCGAGCCCUCCCCAGCACGUGAUCACUGGUCCCCAACAGAACAACCGCUGCCGCAUCCAUGAGGCUCCCAUUGUGGUGGGUUGUGUCACCCCACAAUGUCACUGUUGCUGAGCCCCCAUCGCCUCUGUGUUGUGGAGCAGUUAGAGACACACUGUGGUGUCUGAGUGGCUCUGUGUGAAGGACCGUUUUCUAGGUGAGAGGCACAUCUCAACACAGCUGACUGAUCAGACUCAGCCGUUUUGCACACCCUGGUCAGAAUGAAACAUUCCUUGGGAACUCGGGCCGUGAGAAGCAUCCUUCCUGAUCACCUGACUGUAGAAACAUCCUUAUCGCACCCUCCCGGGCAAAGGCCCAACAGCCUGACUGCAGGAACAUCCUUGCCAUAUCCUGCCGGGCAGCAAGCUCUACCGCCCACACCCCUCCUUCCCAGUCCCAUGAUCACCCCAGCCUGUGAGAGGCAGUUGGUGCUGGCAGUAAGCUGGUUUCCUCCUCUGCAGGGUUUUGCUAGUAAUAAAGGUGUUGCUGUUGAAGCCGUCAA